rnacentral:rRNA from 1 species
CCUACGGGAGGCUGCAGUAGGGAAUAUUGCUCAAUGGGGGAAACCCUGAUGCAGCAACGCCGCGUGGAGGAUGAAGGUUUUCGGAUUGUAAACUCCUUUUGUUAGAGAAGAUAAUGACGGUAUCUAACGAAUAAGCACCGGCUACCUCCGUGCCAGCAGCCGCGGUAAUACGGCGGGUGCAAGCGUUACUCGGAAUCACUGGGCGUAAAGAGCGCGUAGGCGGGAUAGCAAGUCAGAUGUGAAAUCCUAGGGCUUAACCAUAGAACUGCAUUUGAAACUGUUAUUCUAGAGUAUGGGAGAGGUAGGUGGAAUUCUUGGUGUAGGGGUAAAAUCCGUAGAGAUCAAGAGGAAUACUCAUUGCGAAGGCGACCUGCUAGAACAUAACUGACGCUGAUGCGCGAAAGCGUGGGGAGCAAACAGGAUUAGAUACCCUAGUAGUC